UACGUAGGUGGCGAGCGUUGUCCGGAAUUACUGGGUGUAAAGCGCGUGUAGGCGGCAGGCCAAGUCGGUGGUGAAAGCGCCCGGCUCAACUGGGCGAGGUCCAUGGAAACUGGUCAGCUGGAGGACGGUAGAGGCGAGUGGAAUUCCCGGUGUAGUGGUGAAAUGCGUAGAGAUCGGGAGGAACACCUGUGGCGAAGGCGGCUCGCUGGGCCGGUCCUGACGCUGAAACGCGAAGGCGUGGGGAGCGAACAGG
rnacentral:rRNA from 1 species